AACGAACGCUGGCGGCAGGCUUAACACAUGCAAGUCGAGCGCCCCGCAAGGGGAGCGGCAGACGGGUGAGUAAUGCGUGGGAAUCUACCCAUCUCUACGGAAUAACGCAUGGAAACGUGUGCUAAUACCGUAUACGUCCUUCGGGAGAAAGAUUUAUCGGAGAUGGAUGAGCCAGCGUAGGAUUAGCUAGUUGGUGGGGGAAAGGCCUACCAAGGCGACGAUCCAUAGCGAGUCUGAGAGGAUGAUCAGCCACACUGGGACUGAGACACGGCCCAGACGCCGACGGGAGGCAGCAGUGGGGAAUAUUGGACAAUGGGCGCAAGCCUGAUCCAGCCAUGCCGCGUGAGUGAUGAAGGCCCUAGGGUUGUAAAGCUCUUUCACCGGUGAAGAUAAUGACGGUAACCGGAGAAGAAGCCCCGGCUAACUUCGUGCCAGCCGCCGCCGUAACAC
rnacentral:rRNA from 1 species